AACACCCAGCCCAGGCACACCAGAGCUGCUCCCUGGAAGAAAAGGGCAGACACAACUGGAAGUGCUAAGCAGAAGUUGCUCAGCAGGAUCAGGCAAGAUCAAACCACUUCAACAUUUAGGCCAAAAGCUAAUGUAAUUUAAGGUCCCUUGAAAUGUUAUGAAUACCAUCAACAAACACGGCGAGAGUCACUCAUGAAAAUGCAUUUCAGCUUUGUGCACAAAAAAUCAAUCAGCUCUCUGUCUCAGACUUCUUCAAAGACUGUGAACCCAAUUGUUUGUUCCCUGAGGACCCAGGGCUUUCACUGCAACUAACACAUCUGCUUAGUGUUUCCUAUUUUUCAGCAUCACAAGGAGUUUUUCUUAGACCUUGGAUGGUUUGCUCAGCACCUAUGGGCCAGUGAUCUCCUGAACCCCUCUGGAGAUGCUCUGCAGAGCUGAGGACAAUGCACAGAGCAGGGACCCUCCUGGCAGAAAGGCACCCUUGGGAUGUCUUCCAAAUUCAGAAAUGGCCAUUCAGUUUACAGUGCCUGUCUGGGAAAGCUGCACUGCCUAAGGGAACAGCAAGCUGCCUUCUCAUGGCAUCAAACAGCAGAGAUGUGAACUAAUUAAGGGCACCUUUGGAUCAGCCUGCGAACACAGGGCUGGUUCCACCCCAAAGAGCAGAAACCUGGAUGCAAAUACCUGCGGUGUCCCAGGCAAGCAGGGCUGCAGAGCCACAUUUCCCUCUGCAAGCUCAUUUCUAACCUGGGCAGACACAAGCUCCAGGCCCAGCUCUGCAUUCCUUCCACACCCAGGGCUGGAGCUGUGCCUGCAGAAGGAAUGCAAGAGAGAAAUGAGUUUCUUAUCGGCCUGGCAGAUCUUGUUGGGUGAUGUAGAUGCCUGUGGAGCUGCCAGGACUCCAGUGUGGGACAUGGCAUGCAGCCUAGCUCCAGAGCUCCAGACUGCAAGCCAGGGCACUUGGAGUAAGGUUAAACUGCUUUCUAAAGCACAAGAAACUGCUCCUGACUCAGGGAUACCUGGAGAUAUCUCUGCUAGAAAAAAUUGUCAUCAAAGGAAAAGUGAAGAUCCCAGAUUUGUACAAGAAUGAGUAAAAAAGGGAAUAAAUUGUGCAUUUCCAGACUCAGGGGCAUUUGAAAGUCUGGCUAUGGGAAAAUAGAUUUAAUCAUCAUGACUCUCCCAGAGGGGUAUCCUCAACACACAAAUAAGGACAGGAGGUUUCUCAGGACAGCCCUGUGUGUCCAUUCCCUCCCAAGUCAUGGGCAGCACCAUGCAUACAGCUGCAUAUGGCAAAUCUUUCCAUCCCUCCAGAGACCCAAACUUCACCUUGGCUGCUGGUGAGAUAAAGCAGUCAUGGCUCUUUCAGUUCCACAGCCAGCAGUAUUUCAAAAUGUGCGGGGACAAAGACCUCCCAAAUGCAUGAAGCACAAAGAGCUGUGGGAACAAGGCUCUUGAUGUCUGGGCUGUGGCCUCUGGGAAAUUUUGCCAGGGCUGGGACCCUCCUGGAUGUUCCUCUCAUUACUCUCCCCAAACAGAAUGCAAACCUGCAGGAUAAGGAUGUCAUGCUGUGGUCAGGAAUGUCAAAAGGACAUGUUAAGAAACAACUGUGACUGGAAAUAUUUUCCAAAGCAUGUUGCAAGUGGAGCUCACACAUCCACCCCACUGCAGGAGACUGAAACACAAAGUGAAGCUCCCAAAGCUCCAGCUGACCAGAGAUCCCACACAAGAACCUCUCAGGGCAGGGUUACCGCUUUCCUUCUCAGUUCUUUAUGCAGUUGGUCAGGAUUUGUAUUUUCCUGUGCACAUUGUUAAAGGAAAGUCUGGAAGGAGGCAGAGGAAGAUCUCUUGCACAGCUGAACAUGCUUGUGAGGAGAGGCAUGAGGGAACUGGCACACAUGAAAGUGAGAGCAAAACCAGAUGGGCAGAUGGAAUUGCCUGAGCCAACGACUCGAGCACCCUGGGUCUUAUUUGUGUCAGAAAGAACUGUGCUGAGAUGCAAGCAGAAGUGGGUUUCACACCAGGUCUUCAAAAUGCCUGGGGCUUGGAGCCCUGCAAAGGGCAGUGGUGGAACACCAUGAGUGUCACAGCUGGGGCACAAAGCAAGGAGAUGCAAAUCCAUGGAUCUGUACAGGUGAGUACAUGACUGUACAGUCAUUGUAACUCCAACUCUUGGCUUGAUUUCCCUGGCAUUUGGGGGGGUAUGGUCACACCCACGGAGUGCCUGAAGAGCCCUGCCCAGCAAACGCCUCUCAGCUGUCCUGCUGCUCCCUGGGGCUGUGCAGGCUGCCCAGGCAGGGCCUGUGUGCCAGCCUCAGGAGCUCCUGCAGCCCAGGGCAGAGCUGGGACACUGCUGUUCCUGCAGCCCAGGACAGUGCUGGGACACUGCUGUCCCUGCAGCCCAGGACAGAGCUGGGACACUGCUGGCCCUGCAGCCCUGGCCCCAGUGCUGGGACACUGCUGUUCCUGCAGGCCAGGACAGAGCUGGGACACUGCUGUUCCUGCAGGCCAGGACAGAGCUGGGACACUGCUGUUCCUGCAGCCCAGGACAGUGCUGGGACACUGCUGUUCCUGCAGCCCAGGACAGUGCUGGGACACUGCUGUCCCUGCAGCCCAGGACAGAGCUGGGACACUGCUGGCCCUGCAGCCCUGGCCCCAGUGCUGGGACACUGCUGUUCCUGCAGCCCAGGACAGAGCUGGGACACUGCUGUUCCUGCAGCUCAGGACAGUGCUGGGACACUGCUGUUCCUGCAGCCCUGACCCCAGGGCUGGGACACUGCUGUUCCUGCAGCCCAGGACAGAGCUGGGACACUGCUGGCCCUGCAGCUCAGGACAGUGCUGGGACACUGCUGGCCCUGGCCCCAGUGCUGGGACACUGCUGUUCCUGCAUCCCAGGACAGAGCUGGGACACUGCUGUCCCUGCAUCCCAGGACAGAGCUGGAACACUGCUGUCCCUGCAGCCCAGGACAGAGCUGGGACACUGCUGUUCCUGCAGCCCUGACCCCAGAGCUGGGACACUGCUGUUCCUGCAGCCCUGACCCCAGUGCUGGAACACUGCUGGCCCUGCAGCCCAGGACAGUGCUGGGACACUGCUGUUCCUGCAGCCCAGAACAGAGCUGGGACACUGCUGGCCCUGCAG